UACGAAGGGGGCAAGCGUUGUUCGGAAUUACUGGGCGUAAAGGGCGCGCAGGCGGCCAAUCAAGUCAGAUGUGAAAGCCCCGGGCUCAACCUGGGAAUUGCAUUUGGGACUGUUUGGCUAGAGAUCGGGAGAGGAGAGUGGAAUUCCCAGUGUAGAGGUGAAAUUCGUAGAUAUUAGGGAAGAACACCGGUGGCGAAGGCGGGCCA
rnacentral:rRNA from 1 species